GAUGAACGCUGGCGGCGUGCCUAAUACAUGCAAGUCGAGCGAACGGACGAGAAGCUUGCUCUUCUGAUGUUAGCGGCGGACGGGUGAGUAACACGUGGAUAACCUACCUAUAAGACUGGGAUAACUUCGGGAAACCGGAGCUAAUACCGGAUAAUAUUUUGUACCGCAUGGUUCAAAAGUGAAAGACGGUCUUGCUGUCACUUAUAGAUGGAUCCGCGCUGCAUUAGCUAGUUGGUAAGGUAACGGCUUACCAAGGCAACGAUGCAUAGCCGACCUGAGAGGGUGAUCAGCCACACUGGAACUGAGACACGGUCCAGACUCCUACGGGAGGCAGCAGUAGGGAAUCUUCCGCAAUGGGCGAAAGCCUGACGGAGCAACGCCGCGUGAGUGAUGAAGGUCUUCGGAUCGUAAAACUCUGUUAUUAGGGAAGAACAGAUGUGUAAGUAACUGUGCACAUCUUGACGGUACCUAAUCAGAAAGCCACGGCUAACUACGUG
rnacentral:rRNA from 1 species